rnacentral:rRNA from 1 species
GGCUCAGAAGCAGCCACCAUUUAAAGAGUGCGUAAUAGCUCACUGGUCGAGAGACGCUGCGCCGAAAAUGUCCGGGGCUCAAGCACGGAACCGAAGCUAUGGCAUGAUAGCAAUAUCAUGGGUAGGGGAGCGUUCUUAUAAGGAAGAAGCAUGACCGGAAGGACAUGUGGACAAAUAAGAAGUGAGAAUGCCGGUAUGAGUAUCGAAAAGAAAGGUGAGAAUCCUUUCCACCGAAAGCCCGAGGGUUCCUGAGCAACGAUCGUCGACUCAGGGUAAGUCGGGACCUAAGCCGAGGCGAGAAGCGUAGGCGAUGGACAACAGGUUGAAAUUCCUGUACCGGAUCAAGUCGAUCGAGCGAAGGAGCGACGCAGGAGGGCACAUGAUCGCGCGGCUGGAAGAGCGCGUCCAAGUGCGUAUGUUGCAGCAGAGGAAAACCCCUGCAGCUAAAAGCAGAGACAUGAUGGGGAGUUAAAGGAAACUUUGACGAACUCAUGAAUCCCACACUGCCAAGAAAAACUUCUAGCGAGACAAGAUCCGCCCGUACCGUAAACCGACACAGGUAGGCGGGGAGAGAAUCCUAAGGUGCGCGGGAAAACCCUCGUUAAGGAACUCGGCAAAUUGCAUCCGUAACCUAGGGAGAAGGAUGGCCCCCGGUCAGUGAAGAGCAGAAACGCUCAGAGCUAAAAGGGGCGGCAGAAAAGAGGCCCAAGCAACUGUUUACCAAAAACACAGGUGCCUGCGAAAGCGAAAGCUGAAGUAUAGGUGCUGACGCCUGCCCGGUGCCGGAAGGUUAAGGAGAGAAGUUAGCGAAAGCGAAGCAUCGAACUGAAGCCCCGGUGAACGGCGGCCGUAACUAUAACGGUCCUAAGGUAGCGAAAUUCCUUGUCGGGUAAGUUCCGACCCGCAUGAAAGGCGUAAUGAUUUGGGCACUGUCUCAACGAGGGGCCCGGUGAAAUUGAAAUACCUGUGAAGAUGCAGGUUACCCGCGACUGGACAGAAAGACCCCAUGGAGCUUCACUGCAGCUUGAGAUUGAAUCCCGGUGACAGAUGCACAGGAUAGGUGGGAGGCGUCGAAGCAUUGCCCUAGGGCGGUGCGGAGCCGAUGUUGGGAUACCACCCUUCUGUUGCUGAGAUUCUAACGCGAGGAGUAACGACCCUGCGGACCCUCUCAGGCAGGCGGUUUGACUGGGGCGGUCGCCUCCGAAAGAGUAACGGAGGCGCCCAAAGGUUCCCUCAGGCCGGACAGAAACCGGCCGAAGAGUGCAAAGGCAGAAGGGAGCUUGACUGCGAGACCAACAAGUCGAGCAGGGACGAAAGUCGGGCUUAGUGAUCCGGUGGUACUGGGUGGAAAGGCCAUCGCUCAACGGAUAAAAGCUACCCUGGGGAUAACAGGCUAAUCUCUCCCAAGAGUUCAUAUCGACGGGGAGGUUUGGCACCUCGAUGUCGGCUCAUCACAUCCUGGGGCUGGAGUAGGUCCCAAGGGUUGGGCUGUUCGCCCAUUAAAGUGGUACGCGAGCUGGGUUCAAAACGUCGUGAGACAGUUUGGUUCAUAUCCAUCGCGGGCGCAAGAAGUUUGAGAGGAGCUGCUCCUAGUACGAGAGGACCGGAGUGGACGGAUCAACGGUGUCCCAGUUGUCACGCCAGUGGCACGGCUGGAAAGCCGCAUCCGGGAAGGAUAAACGCUGAAAGCAUCUAAGCGUGAAGCCAACCUCAAGAUGAGACUUCUCAUCAGCAAUGAGUAAGACCCCUUACAGACGAUGAGGUAGAUAGGUUAUGAGUGGAAGAGCCGCAAGGCUUGGAGCGACAUAAAACUAAUAGGUCGAGGUCUUAACUUA